rnacentral:rRNA from 1 species
CUCCUACGGGACGCAGCAGUGGGGAAUAUUGCACAAUGGGGGAAACCCUGAUGCAGCAACGCCGCGUGAGUGAAGAAGGGUUUCGGCUCGUAAAGCUCUGUUGGGAGUGAAGAAAGAUAGAGGUAGUAACUGGCCUUUAUUUGACGGUAAUUACUUAGAAAGUCACGGCUAACUACGUGCCAGCAGCCGCGGUAAUACGUAGGUGGCAAGCGUUGUCCGGAUUUAUUGGGCGUAAAGCGAGUGCAGGCGGGUCCAUAAG